rnacentral:rRNA from 1 species
UACAGAGGUGGCAAACGUUGUCCGGAUUUAUUGGGCGUAAAGAGCGUGUAGGCGGCCAGGUAGGUGGGUUGUGAAAACUGGAGGCUCAACCUUCAGACGUCGACCCAAACCACCUGGCUAGAGUCCGGAAGAGGAGAGUGGAAUUCCUGGUGGAGCGGUGAAAUGCGCAGAUAUCAGGAAGAACACCCGUGGCGAAGGCGGCUCUCUGGGACGGUACUGACGCUGAGACGCGAAAGCGUGGGGAGCGAACAGG